rnacentral:rRNA from 1 species
UACGGGGGGGGUUAGCGUUGUUCGGAAUUACUGGGCGUAAAGGGCUCGUAGGCGGCCAACUAAGUCAUACGUGAAAUCCCUCAGCUUAACUGGGGAACUGCGUGUGAUACUGGAUGGCUUGGAUUUGGGAGAGGGAUGCGGAAUUCCAGGUGUAGCGGUGAAAUGCGUAGAUAUCAGGAGGAACACCGGUGGCGAAGGCGGAUCUCUGGGCCUUAACUGACGCUCAGGCGCGAAAGCUAGGGGAGCGAACAGG